rnacentral:rRNA from 1 species
CUCAGCAGCCGCGGUAAUACGAAGGGACCUAGCGUAGUUCGGAAUUACUGGGCUUAAAGAGUUYGUAGGUGGUUAAAAAAGUUGAUGGUGAAAUCCCAAGGCUCAACCUUGGAACUGCCAUCAAAACUUUUUAGCUAGAGUGUGAUAGAGGAAAGUGGAAUUUCUAGUGUAGAGGUGAAAUUCGUAGAUAUUAGAAAGAACAUCAAAAGCGAAGGCAACUUUCUGGAUCAUUACUGACACUGAGGAACGAAAGCAUGGGUAGCGAAGAGGAUUAGAUACCCUCGUAGUCCAUGCCGUAAACGAUGUGUGCUAGACGUUGGAAACUUAGUUUUCAGUGUCGCAGCGAAAGCAUUAAGCACACCGCCUGGGGAGUACGACCGCMRGGUUAAAACUCAWAGGAGUUGACGGC